CUCACUUUGUAUUGACGUGGACUCUCCACUCUUUCUUUAUCACCCUUUCAAGCGCUCACGUUAUUUCUAAACUAAAUUGCCCAAAAAACCAAGAAAAAAAGCAAAACAAAACCCCAAGACGCAAUCAAUUCUGCUCUUGAACUCCUCUUCUCCUCAUUCAUGAAUCGGUAUUAAUGCGAUGCACGCAUUCCUCCAUCACAAACUUUCGUUAUUUGAACCACAGGCUCCUUCGUCUUUCUCUGCUCCGCUCUUUCUCCGCUCUUUCUCCAAUCCUCUGUAUAUUCGCAUCCUGAACCAAUUCUUGACGAAACUUCUAGAACUGGAAUAGAUUCUCCCUCACCAAGCAAUUUCUUCUUUCUCUAACAACCCUGAGUUGUAAGAAGGAAUUGAGUUUGAGAAUCAGAGUAGUUGUGGCUUGUAUUAGUGGUGGACGGAUAUCUGAUAUCGUCUUGGGAAUCGACGGUCAAGAUGUCACUGCGAAUAAAGGCAGUGGUGGACAGGAUCAUGAAGGAGAAGGAGAGGGAGAUGCAGAGUUACAUAGAAAAGCAACCUUUAUUUUCAAUUACCAGAAAUUAAUCAUCAUUCCUGUGAAAAAAAAAAAAGAGCUGGGCAUUGCAUUCAAGGGGAACCAGGAAAUGGUCGUUGAAGCUUUGGAUGUGAGUAGUACAAUUGAUUUUUUGAGUGGUUCUGAAGAAAGCAUUAGACGCGGACAUUCAGGACAGGAUCAUGAAGGAGACGGAGACGUAGAGUUACAUAGAAGAGCAACCUUUAUUUUCAAUUACCAGGUCUGCUUGGGAAAUUUGGGAUAACCUUCUUGAUAAUUAAGGAGGGUUUCCCUUUUGAUUGGUGAAUUUUAGUGGAUUUAAGGCAACUAUACACAAUGAUAGGUUUAUCACCAGCCAUUUUUAGGUUGGGUGCAGCUUCCUUCUUCCAUUUCGCUUUUUAACUAUCUUUAUGGUUUGGAAGGUGAGUGUAGGCUAUCAAUUAGUGAACACAGUGACUUUUCCUGCUAAUUAUAGUGUUAUGAUAUGUUGAAUUAUGAACCAGGGCCUUUUCAAUUAAGAAAUUGACACAUUUCAAAGAAGGUAUUCUUUCAAUUGUUUAAGGCUCAAUCAUAAGCAUUAUAGUUGCCCCACCGUGAUUCUCUCUUUGACUGAUAAAAAACUUAAAUUGAUAUCUGUUAAGGGAAAUGAAGUCCUUUUUCAAUUUGCCAAGAAGUAUUUGCCUGUAAUUCAAAAGGUUUAGCUGGCUUUGCUCAUGACUGUAAUCCUCAGUAUUUUCCUCUUUUAUAUUGGCAUAUAUUUGUGUACUAACAAAAUUGUUUUUAUCUCUCCUUAACAUAUUUUCACUGAAUGGAGGAAGAAACAAGGAAGUUAACAGGAGCAAGGGAGAAGGUUGUCGACAGGUCAAACAACGGGAUUUAAAACACUAGAAGAUGAGUUGGGGCAUAAAGGUUAUGGAAGUGAGACUUGUGAUAGAUUGGGACGAAGGUCAUGCCCUGGAAUACUUUCUGGAGACUCUUGUGCUUAAUAAUGCCAGAUUGCCAGUGAUGUUCUUCCAAUGUACAUUGAAGAUGACAAAACUCAAGGUUGUGAUUUUUGACUGCGAAAACUCAACAUUGGCAUAUGUGAUUCUUUUAUACCUCCUAAAUUUGUAAGUUUGCAGAAAAAUACAGGUACAAAUUCAAUGUUUUAAUUCAAGAUUGCUUGCUACAUUGCAAAA